GCCCUGGUGACACCGGGCUCGGCUCUACUAUGUCACCCGAGAACCGAUUGCACGAGAUGGUAUAGACGCAAGCAGUGGCCCGCAGUCAAUACCCAUAGCUCACAACCCCUUGAUCCAAGAGGACGACUCCACGGGAUGUUUGGGGUGUGCACACACCUGGCGACUUACACAGUUUGGGUGGGGACUGGGAGGGACAUAACACGCUCUUGACCACAGGAGAUGGAACUGAUGGUAACCGUUUUGAAAGGCCCAACUGGCCAUGCUAUCCCCCACCCUAUACCCACCUUUCCAUAGCCUAUGGCCCACGGGGGUGACAUCACCACAAGACUCUUU